rnacentral:misc_RNA from 1 species
GUGAAUCAUCGAAUCUUUGAACGCACCUUGCGCUCCUUGGUAUUCCGAGGAGCAUGCCUGUUUGCGCGUCAUCGAAAUCUCAAAUCGAAGCUUCGAUCCCUUCGGGGCUCGGUUUGGACGUGGGAGCCUGCCGGCGCGAGUCGGCUCUCCUCAAAAGCAUUAGCCGUGGGCGCGAGUCUUGCAUGGCACGGCCUCCUCGACGUCAUAAUGAUCGUCGUGGGCUGGAAGUGCGCGAAUCGAACGACCCAUGCUUCACAACCCUGCGAGCCCGUCGCGGCCGCACGCAUGAACGCUUGACCUCAAAUCAGGUAGGACUACCCGCUGAACUUAAGCAUAUCAAUAAGCGGAGGA